AAUAGAUACCCCGGUAGUCCACGCCGUAAACGAUGAGUGCUAAGUGUUAGAGGGUUUCCGCCCUUUAGUGCUGCAGCUAACGCAUUAAGCACUCCGCCUGGGGAGUACGGCCGCAAGGCUGAAACUCAAAGGAAUUGACGGGGGCCCGCACAAGCGGUGGAGCAUGUGGUUUAAUUCGAAGCAACGCGAAGAACCUUACCAGGUCUUGACAUCCUCUGCCAACUCUAGAGAUAGGGCGUUCCCCUUCGGGGGACAGAGUGACAGGUGGUGCAUGGUUGUCGUCAGCUCGUGUCGUGAGAUGUUGGGUUAAGUCCCGCAACGAGCGCAACCCUUGAUCUUAGUUGCCAGCAUUCAGUUGGGCACUCUAAGGUGACUGCCGGUGACAAACCGGAGGAAGGUGGGGAUGACGUCAAAUCAUCAUGCCCCUUAUGACCUGGGCUACACACGUGCUACAAUGGAUGGUACAAAGAGUUGCGAACCCGCGAGGGUAAGCCAAUCUCAUAAAGCCAUUCUCAGUUCGGA
rnacentral:rRNA from 1 species